rnacentral:lncRNA from 1 species
CUGACAUUCAUCCAUAUGAAAAUAUGCAGGUCAUUAGCUUACUAUAAUUUACUUUUGACUUAAUGGGGCAUAAAUAAAACUUUCAUAGUACACAUGAGGUGGAUAUUUGAUACACAGAACAUUUGCGGUGGGCUUUCUGUGGGUUAGAUGUAAAGCCCACAUAUUUUAAUAUUCACUAUUUUAAAUGAGCAAUGCAUGAGGGGAAUGCAGUGUCAGUACCUGGCCUAUUUUUAAACUAGUGUAAUCACCCUAGUCAUACCAUUCAGUAUGUUUGCUUUUUAAAAUAAGUAACCACAAUUAAGUUGUUGUAGCCCUUGCACUUCAAGAGAUCUAGUCUUUACUUUCAGUUGUCUGUUAGGUCCAUUCUGUUUACUAGACGGAUGUUAAUAAAAACUAUGCGAGCCUGAAUGAAUUCUCAGCCAAAUUUAGUCUUGUCUCUCAUCUUGAUUGGAUUAAUUCCAAAUUCUAAAAUGAUUCAGUCCACAAUAGCUCUAGGGGAUGAAGAAUUUGCCUUACUUUGCCCAGUUCCUAAGACUGUGAGUUGUCAAAUCCCUAGACUGUAAGCUCUUCAAGGAGCAAGAGGCGCAUUUUCUCCGUGUCAUGUAAUUUUUCUAAGGUGCUUGGCAGCACUCUGUACCCUGUGGAGUACUCAGUACCUUUUGUUUGAUGUUGCUGACAAGACCUGAAAAAAAAUCCCUUAAAAAAAAAACCCAUUAAAGUGUAGCAAAA